rnacentral:rRNA from 1 species
AUUGAACGCUGGCGGCAGGCCUAACACAUGCAAGUCGAACGAGUGGCGGACGGGUGAGUAAUGUAUGGGAAACUGCCCGAGGGAGGGGGAUAACUACUGGAAACGGUAGCUAAUACCGCAUACCAUCGGAUGUGCCCAGAUGGGAUGAGCUAGGAGGUGGGGUAACGGCUCACCUAGGCGAAGCUCCCUAGCUGGUCUGAGAGGAUGACCAGCCACACUGGAACUGCGACACGGUCCAGACUCCUACGGGAUGCAGCAGUGGGGAAUAUUGCACAAGGGGCGCAAGCCGGAUGCAGCCAUGCCGCUUGUAUGAAGAAGGCCUUCGGGUUGUAAAGUACUUUCAGCGCGGAGGCGUUACUCGCAGAAGAAGCACCGGCUAACUCCGUGCCAGCAGCCGCGGUAAUAC